AGAGUUUGAUCAUGGCUCAGAUUGAACGCUGGCGGCAGGCCUAACACAUGCAAGUCGAACGGUAACAGGAAGCAGCUUGCUGCUUUGCUGACGAGUGGCGGACGGGUGAGUAAUGUCUGGGAAACUGCCUGAUGGAGGGGGAUAACUACUGGAAACGGUGGCUAAUACCGCAUAACGUCGCAAGACCAAAGAGGGGGACCUUCGGGCCUCUUGCCAUCAGAUGUGCCCAGAUGGGAUUAGCUUGUUGGUGAGGUAACGGCUCACCAAGGCGACGAUCCCUAGCUGGUCUGAGAGGAUGACCAGCCACACUGGAACUGAGACACGGUCCAGACUCCUACGGGAGGCAGCAGUGGGGAAUAUUGCACAAUGGGCGCAAGCCUGAUGCAGCCAUGCCGCGUGUAUGAAGAAGGCCUUCGGGUUGUAAAGUACUUUCAGCGGGGAGGAAGGUGUUGUGGUUAAUAACCACAGCAAUUGACGUUACCCGCAGAAGAAGCACCGGCUAACUCCGUGCCAGCAGCCGCGGUAAUACGGAGGGUGCAAGCGUUAAUCGGAAUUACUGGGCGUAAAGCGCACGCAGGCGGUCUGUCAAGUCGGAUGUGAAAUCCCCGGGCUCAACCUGGGAACUGCAUUCGAAACUGGCAGGCUUGAGUCUUGUAGAGGGGGGUAGAAUUCCAGGUGUAGCGGUGAAAUGCGUAGAGAUCUGGAGGAAUACCGGUGGCGAAGGCGGCCCCCUGGACAAAGACUGACGCUCAGGUGCGAAAGCGUGGGGAGCAAACAGGAUUAGAUACCCUGGUAGUCCACGCCGUAAACGAUGUCUACUUGGAGGUUGUGCCCUUGAGGCGUGGCUUCCGGAGCUAACGCGUUAAGUAGACCGCCUGGGGGAGUACGGCCGCAAGGUUAAAACUCAAAUGAAUUGACGGGGGCCCGCACAAGCGGUGGAGCAUGUGGUUUAAUUCGAUGCAACGCGAAGAACCUUACCUGGUCUUGACAUCCACAGAACUUUCCAGAGAUGGAUUGGUGCCUUCGGGAACUGUGAGACAGGUGCUGCAUGGCUGUCGUCAGCUCGUGUUGUGAAAUGUUGGGUUAAGUCCCGCAACGAGCGCAACCCUUAUCCUUUGUUGCCAGCGGUUAGGCCGGGAACUCAAAGGAGACUGCCAGUGAUAAACUGGAGGAAGGUGGGGAUGACGUCAAGUCAUCAUGGCCCUUACGACCAGGGCUACACACGUGCUACAAUGGCGCAUACAAAGAGAAGCGACCUCGCGAGAGCAAGCGGACCUCAUAAAGUGCGUCGUAGUCCGGAUUGGAGUCUGCAACUCGACUCCAUGAAGUCGGAAUCGCUAGUAAUCGUGGAUCAGAAUGCCACGGUGAAUACGUUCCCGGGCCUUGUACACACCGCCCGUCACACCAUGGGAGUGGGUUGCAAAAGAAGUAGGUAGCUUAACCUUCGGGAGGGCGCUUACCACUUUGUGAUUCAUGACUGGGGUGAAGUCGUAACAAGGUAACCGUAGGGGAACCUGCGGUUGGAUCACCU
rnacentral:rRNA from 1 species